rnacentral:rRNA from 1 species
UUUGACCUCAAAUCAGGUAGGACUACCCGCUGAACUUAAGCAUAUCAAUAAGCGGAGGAAAAGAAACUAACAAGGAUUCCCCUAGUAACUGCGAGUGAAGCGGGAAAAGCUCAAAUUUGAAAUCUGGCAGUCUUUUUUUUCUUCUUUGGCUGUCCGAGUUGUAAUCUAGAGAAGUGCUUACCUGCACUGGACCAUGUAUAAGUCUCCUGGAAUGGAGCCUCACAGAGGGUGAGAAUCCCGUCUUUGACAUGGACUGCCAGUGUGUUGUGGUGUGCUCUCAAAGAGUCGAGUUGUUUGGGAAUGCAGCUCUAAAUGGGUGGUAAACUCCAUCUAAAGCUAAAUAUUGGCGAGAGACCGAUAGUGAACAAGUACCGUGAGGGAAAGAUGAAAAGGACUUUGGAAAGAGAGUUAAACAGUAUGUGAAAUUGUUGAAAGGGAAACGCUUGAAGUCAGUUAUGUUGGCUAGGGAUCAACCUAGCUAUUUUUGCUGGGUGAAUUUCCUAGUCUUACAGGCCAACAUCAGUCUUGACUGCUGGAAAAGAGCAGAGGGAAUGUGGCACCUUUGGGUGUGUUAUAGCCCUUCGUCAUAUGUGGCAGUUGGGACUGAGGGAUGCAGCAUGCCGUGAGGCUGGGUCUUUGACCACGUUUCAUGCUUAGGAUGUUGGCUUUUAAUGGCUUCAAUCGACCCGUCUUGAAACACGGACCAAGGAGUCUAACAUGCCUGCGAGUGUUUGGGUGGGGAAAACCCUUGUGCACAAUGAAAGUGAAAGUUGAGAUCCCUGUCAUGGGGAGCAUCGACGCCCGGACCUGAGCUUUUAGCAAUGGAUCCGCGGUAGAGCAUGCAUGUUGGGACCCGAAAGAUGGUGAACUAUGCCUGAAUAGGGCAAAGCCAGAGGAAACUCUGGUGGAGGCUCGUAGCGAUUCUGACGUGCAAAUCGAUCGUCAAAUUUGGGUAUAGGGGCGAAAGACUAAUCGAACCAUCUAGUAGCUGGUUCCUGCCGAAGUUUCCCUCAGGAUAGCAGAAGCUCAUUAUCAGAUUUAUGUGGUAAAGCGAAUGAUUAGAGGCCUUGGGGUUGAAACA